rnacentral:rRNA from 1 species
AAGUCGGUUGUGAAAGCCUUCCGCUCAACGGAAGAACGGCAUCCGAUACUGCAUGGCUUGAGUGUGGGAGGGGAGAGUGGAACUUCUGGUGGAGCGGUGAAAUGCGUAGAUAUCAGAAGGAACACCGGCGGCGAAGGCGACUCUCUGGUCCAUAACUGACGCCGAGUGUGCGAAAGCUAGGGGAGCAAACGGGAUUAGAUACCCCGGUAGUCCUAGCCGUAAACGAU